rnacentral:rRNA from 1 species
UACGGAGGGGGCGAGCGUUGUCCGAAGUUACUGGGCGUAAAGCGCGUGUAGGCGGGUUGCCAAGUCCGCUGUGAAAGCCCGAGGCUCAACCUCGGAGGGUCGGUGGAUGACUGGCAGUCUUGAAGGUGCUAGGGGGAGAUGGAAUUACCGGUGUAGCGGUGAAAUGCGUAGAGAUCGGGAGGAACACCAGAGGCGAAGGCGGCGACCUGGACAGUUACUGACACUCAACUACGAAAGCGUGGGAGCAAGCAGG